rnacentral:misc_RNA from 1 species
AAGGAUCAUUACAGAGUUAGGGUCCCCCGGGGCCCGAACCUCCCACCCUUUGAUGUCGCGAACUUGUUGCUUCGGCGGGACCGGCGAAGCCCCCUCGGGGGCAGAGUCGACCGGGCCACGCGCCCGGGCAGCGCCCGCCGGAGGACCCAACCAACUCUGUUUUAACAAUACUGUCGGAGCAAACUUGAUAAAUAAAUCAAAACUUUCAACAACGGAUCUCUUGGUUCUG